rnacentral:rRNA from 1 species
GAUGAACGCUGGCGGCGUGCUUAACACAUGCAAGUCGAGCGAGGGAGCACCUUCGGGUGUGAACUAGCGGCGGACGGGUGAGUAACACGUGGGCAACCUGCCUUACAGAGGGGGAUAGCCUUCCGAAAGGAAGAUUAAUACCGCAUAUUAUGAUUUUUCUGCAUGGGAAAGUCAUGAAAGGAGCAAUCCGCUGUAAGAUGGGCCCGCGGCGCAUUAGCUAGUUGGUGAGGUAAGGGCUCACCAAGGCGACGAUGCGUAGCCGACCUGAGAGGGUGAUCGGCCACAUUGGGACUGAGACACGGCCCAGACUCCUACGGGAGGCAGCAGUGGGGAAUAUUGCACAAUGGGGGAAACCCUGAUGCAGCAACGCCGCGUGAGUGAUGACGGCCUUCGGGUUGUAAAGCUCUGUCUUCAGGGACGAUAAUGACGGUACCUGAGGAGGAAGCCACGGCUAACUACGUGCCAGCAGCCGCGGUAAUACGUAGGUGGCGAGCGUUAUCCGGAUUUACUGGGCGUAAAGGAUGCGUAGGUGGAAUUUUAAGUGGGAUGUGAAAUACCCGGGCUCAACCUGGGAACUGCAUUCCAAACUGGAAUUCUAGAGUGCAGGAGAGGAAAGCGGAAUUCCUAGUGUAGCGGUGAAAUGCGUAGAGAUUAGGAAGAACACCAGUGGCGAAGGCGGCUUUCUGGACUGUAACUGACACUGAGGCAUGAAAGCGUGGGGAGCNAACAGG